UCCAAUUGUCCCAACGUUUCAACCCUUCAGGGUCUUUUUCAAAGUCCUUGAAAAAGACCCUGAAGGGUCGAAGCAUUGGGACAAUUGCAUUAAAUU